UACGUAGGGUGCGAGCGUUAAUCGGAAUUACUGGGCGUAAAGCGUGCGCAGGCGGGCUUUUAAGUCAGACGUGAAAUCCCUCAGCUUAACUGGGGAACUGCGUCUGAUACUGGAUGGCUUGGAUUCGGGAGAGGAAUGCGGAAUUCCAGGUGUAGCGGUGAAAUGCGUAGAUAUCUGGAGGAACACCGGUGGCGAAGGCGGCAUUCUGGACCGAUAUUGACGCUGAGGAGCGAAAGCCAGGGGAGCAAACGGG
rnacentral:rRNA from 1 species